CAGGGAUGAACGCUGGCGGCGUGCCUAACACAUGCAAGUCGAACGAGAUCCAUUAAUUGAAGCUUCGGCAGAUUUUAGGAAGAUCGAGUGGCGGACGGGUGAGUAACGCGUGGGUAACCUGCCUUACAGAGGGGGAUAACAGAGAGAAAUUUCUGCUAAUACCGCAUAAGCACACAGUACCGCAUGGUACAGGGUGAAAAGAUUUAUCACUGUAAGAUGGACCCGCGUCUGAUUAGCCAGUUGGCAGGGUAACGGCCUACCAAAGCGACGAUCAGUAGCCGACCUGAGAGGGUGAUCGGCCACAUUGGGACUGAGACACGGCCCAAACUCC
rnacentral:rRNA from 1 species